rnacentral:rRNA from 1 species
CCUACGGGUGGCAGCAGUGGGGAAUAUUGGACAAUGGGGGGAACCCUGAUCCAGCCAUGCCGCGUGUGUGAAGAAGGCCCUCGGGUUGUAAAGCACUUUCAGUGAGGAAGAACGCCUGGUGGUUAAUACCCAUCAGGAAAGACAUCACUCACAGAAGAAGCACCGGCUAACUCCGUGCCAGCAGCCGCGGUAAUACGGAGGGUGCGAGCGUUAAUCGGAAUUACUGGGCGUAAAGCGCGCGUAGGUGGCUUGAUAAGCCGGUUGUGAAAGCCCCGGGCUCAACCUGGGAACGGCAUCCGGAACUGUCAAGCUAGAGUGCAGGAGAGGAAGGUAGAAUUCCCGGUGUAGCGGUGAAAUGCGUAGAGAUCGGGAGGAAUACCAGUGGCGAAGGCGGCCUUCUGGACUGACACUGACACUGAGGUGCGAAAGCGUGGGUAGUAAACAGGAUUAGAUACCCGGGUAGUC